rnacentral:rRNA from 1 species
UACGAGGGGGGCGAGCGUUGUUCGGAAUUAUUGGGCGUAAAGGGUGCGUAGGCGGUUUGGUAAGUCUCGUGUGAAAUCUACAGGCUCAACUUGUAGUCUGCACGAGAAACUGCCGGGCUUGAGUGUGGGAGAGGUGAGUGGAAUUCCUGGUGUAGCGGUGAAAUGUGUAGAUAUUCGGAAGAACACCAGUGGCGAAGGCAGCGAAUUGGCGCUUUAUUGACGCUCAGGCACGAAAGCAUGGGGAUCAAACAGG